rnacentral:rRNA from 1 species
UACGAAGGGGGCUAGCGUUGCUCGGAAUCACUGGGCGUGAAGGGUGCGUAGGCGGGUCUUUAAGUCAGGGGUGAAAUCCUGGAGCUCAACUCCAGAACUGCCUUUGAUACUGAAGAUCUUGAGUUCGGGAGAGGUGAGUGGAACUGCGAGUGUAGAGGUGAAAUUCGUAGAUAUUCGCAAGAACACCAGUGGCGAAGGCGGCUCACUGGCCCGAUACUGACGCUGAGGCACGAAAGCGUGGGGAGCAAACAGG